AUUGAACGCUGGCGGCAGGCCUAACACAUGCAAGUCGAGCGGAUGAAGGGAGCUUGCUCCUGGAUUCAGCGGCGGACGGGUGAGUAAUGCCUAGGAAUCUGCCUGGUAGUGGGGGAUAACGUCCGGAAACGGGCGCUAGUACCGCAUACGUCCUGAGGGAGAAAGUGGGGGAUCUUCGGACCUCACGCUAUCAGAUGAGCCUAGGUCGGAUUAGCUAGUUGGUGGGGUAAAGGCCUACCAAGGCGACGAUCCGUAACUGGUCUGAGAGGAUGAUCAGUCACACUGGAACUGAGACACGGUCCAGACCCCUACGGGAGGCAGCAGUGGGGAAUAUUGGACAAUGGGCGAAAGCCUGAUCCAGCCAUGCCGCGUGUGUGAAGAAGGUCUUCGGAUUGUAAAGCACUUUAAGUUGGGAGGAAGGGCAGUAAGUUAAUACCUUGCUGUUUUGACGUUACCAACAGAAUAAGCACCGGCUAACUUCGUG
rnacentral:rRNA from 1 species